rnacentral:rRNA from 1 species
GACAGAGGUGCCAAGCGUUAGGCGGAAUCACUGGGCUUAAAGCGUGUGUAGGCGGGCGGACAAGUACCUUGUGAAAUCCCACGGCUCAACCGUGGAACGGCUUGGUAUACUGUUCGUCUUGAGGCAUCUAGAGGCAACUGGAACAAACGGUGGAGCGGUGAAAUGCGUAGAUAUCGUUUGGAACGCCAAAGGUGAAAACAGGUUGCUGGGGAUGCACUGACGCUGAGACACGAAAGCCAGGGGAGCAAACGGG